rnacentral:tRNA from 8 species
GGAUAUAGCCAAGCGGUAAGGCACUAGACUUUGACUCUAUUAUGCGCUGGUUCGAAUCCAGCUAUCC